GAUGAAGAACGUAGCGAAAUGCGAUAAGUAAUGUGAAUUGCAGAAUUCAGUGAAUCAUCGAAUCUUUGAACGCACAUUGCGCCCCCUGGUAUUCCGGGGGGCAUGCCUGUUCGAGCGCCAUUUCACCACUCAAGCCUCGCUUGGUAUUGGGCAUCGCGGUCCGCCGCGCGCCUCAAAUCGACCGGCUGGGUCUUCUGUCCCCUAAGCGUUGUGGAAACUAUUCGCUAAAGGGUGUUCGGGAGGCUACGCCGUAAAACAACCCCAUUUCUAAGGUUGACCUCGGAUCAGGUAGGGAUACCCGCUGAACUUAAGCAUAUCAAUAAGCGGAGA
rnacentral:misc_RNA from 1 species